UUUAUAUGAGAGUUUGAUCCUGGCUCAGGAUGAACGCCGGCGGUGUGCCUAAUACAUGCAAGUCGUACGCACUGGCCCAACUGAUUGAUGGUGCUUGCGCCUGAUUGACGAUGGAUCGCCAGUGAGUGGCGGACGGGUGAGUAACACGUAGGUAACCUGCCCCGGAGCGGGGGAUAACAUUUGGAAACAGAUGCUAAUACCGC
rnacentral:rRNA from 1 species